CAGUAGGGAAUCUUCGGCAAUGGGGGCGAACCCUGACCGAGCAACGCCGCGUGAGUGAAGAAGGUUUUCGGAUCGUAAAGCUCUGUUGUAAGAGAAGAACGUGUGUGAGAGUGGAAAGUUCACACAGUGACGGUAACUUACCAGAAAGGGACGGCUAACUACGUGCCAG
rnacentral:rRNA from 1 species